GAUGAACGCUAGCGGGAGGCCUAACACAUGCAAGCCGAGGGGUAUAUUUCUUUCGGGAGAUAGAGACCGGCGCACGGGUGCGUAACGCGUAUGCAACUUGCCCUACUGAAGAGGAUAGCCCAGAGAAAUUUGGAUUAAUACUUUAUAACAGGUUUUAUCGCAUGAUAAGACUUUGAAAGAUUUAUCGCAGUAGGAUAGGCAUGCGUAAGAUUAGUUAGUUGGUAAGGUAACGGCUUACCAAGACGAUGAUCUGUAGGGGGCCUGAGAGGGUGGUCCCCCACACUGGUACUGAGACACGGACCAGACUCCUACGGGAGGCAGCAGUGAGGAAUAUUGGACAAUGGGUGGAAGCCUGAUCCAGCCAUCCCGCGUGUAGGAUGACGGCCUUAUGGGUUGUAAACUACUUUUAUCUGGGGAUAAACCUAUCUACGUGUAGAUAGCUGAAGGUACCAGAAGAAUAAGCACCGGCUAACUCCGUGCCAGCCGCCGCGGUAA
rnacentral:rRNA from 1 species